UACAGAGACCUCAAGCGUUAUCCGGAAUCAUUGGGCGUAAAGCGUACCGAUAGGUGGUUUUGCAAGUCAGAGGUGAAAUCUCCGAGCUCAACUCGGAAUCUGUCCUUUGAAACUGCACAACUAGAGGGGCAAAGAGGAAGCUGGAACGAACGGUGUAGUAGUGAAAUGCGUUGAUAUCGUUCGGAACACCAAUA
rnacentral:rRNA from 1 species